CUCAAGGACACAGUGACAUUAGUGAUAGGACAUUCUUUGCCACACCACGAGACAUUGACAACAUCAGAACAUCAGUCAAACCUGGUGCAGUACGGCAAGCAGAUAGUGUUUGUGGACACCACCCACUGUGUCAACCAGUAUGACUUCCCCUUGCUUACACUCCUUGUAAGAGAUGGUCAUGGACGAGCAAUGAACAACAGACCACCUUAGAGCAGGUUCUUGAGCAACUGAGGAUACCGUUCCAGCACCCUCCCAGAGCAUUUGUGGUUGACAAAGACUAUGCUGAAAUUAAUGCUUUAUCAAGCAUUUUCCCUGAAUCUUAUAUCCUUUUGUGCUGGUAUCACUUCUUGCAGGCUGUUCAAAGAUGGUUAUCCAAAACAGAGUUUGGAGUGCAUGGACCUUCCAACUUGAACAUUGAAUUUCUUUCUUUUGCAAACUGAAGACCUGUAAAACUGAGGCAGAAUUUGAGACCACAGCCAAGAAGUUCAACAAAAUGUUCAGACAACACCCAGCUGAGUGGCAGUAUUUCACAAGACACUGGGAAGAGAUUGGUCACAUGUAGUCCGAUUACGGACGUUGCUUUGAGCAUUUGAACACUGAUACGAACAAUGUCAUUGAACGGCUCAAAUACCAGUUUCUUGGAGGCGUUAGGAAUCUGCGUAUACUGUAGAUGACCUAAUACAUGUCCUCCUUGAAAAAGCAGAUUACUUCAGCAUAAUGAGGGAGUUACAGUAUGCUGGGCGUGUGAAGAACAAAUUCAGCCACCCCCCCUCUUUGCAGACAGAAGCAACAACUGAAUGUGUUAACGACAGUUUGGCACCGAUUUCUUCACACAGUGCAGUGUCAUUGCCAACCUUAGCAAGUGGUACCCAUGUGUAACUACUGUUGAGAAAUUAGUGUUGCAAAAAUCAUCAGUAGCUGGACAGAAACUCCUGAUCCAAUAAAGGAAAUGAUUGAUGGGUUACAUUUUCAUGUUUUAGAGGCAGACAGGGGCAAAGAAAGCAAGGACCCCUACCCCGCCAUUAUCAAUGAUAACGGCAAGAAAAUCAUGCCAUUAUAUCCAUCUAGAAAACGCAAGGUAGACACCAGGUCGAUCUGCAAAGCCACAACACACCAACAGAGCCCAAAAAACCCUGAUUACCCCGUGAGAAAGCGAUCCAGAGGCUCAGUGAAGACUAAAAAAAACAAGGACUACUAGAAUGAGCAUAUUCUAAUCAAACACUUGGACUGUACCAAUUUUUGAAGUUUUGUUGUAUAUAUGUUUAUUUCUUUGACAAGCAAAUGUUACCCAAGAACAGGGUAAAAGAAGCUAAGCUAUCAUUAGAUUUUAAUGAUAAAAUCUAAAGCAAGUUGUUUACCUUUU